UCAGAGGUGACCACAUUUCUGCACCAACUGUGUUUGGAAUUGAGAUAUCUGCCUCAGGUGCUCUGAAUCAUCCUGCUGUGCCAGAGACUGCCUGGAAACAUGGCAGCACUCAAGCUGAGCAGUUCUUGUUGACAGUCUGAAUACUGCCUUUACUUGGUUACACAGUCUUAGCCAUUUUCUUUUGGUGUGUACCAAAGAAAUGAUGUUUCUGUGACAAAUAUCCCUCACCUUCCAUCAUCUGUUGAUCACAGCAGUCUGGAAUACAAGAAAGGAUGCUUUCAGCAAAAGACACCCAAAACAUACUCAAAGUGAUCAAGGCUUUAACAGUCACCUGACUGCGCAAGCAUCUGGAAGGCCCUAAACUCACCCCAGCAGACAGCCAUACAUGUCCUCCUGAUAAACAGAGUAGACAGAGAACACAAUGAAUGCAUUGAAUGCUGAGGUCAGAAGCAGUCUUAGAAAAGGCCAAGGACCUCUGCACUAGCCAACAGGCAGAACAACUUCCUGAAGCCACAAAUGAUUGUCCCAGCUCCCAGAUUAUAAUGCAGAGACUUCCAGCUGCAGGUCUAAAGGACUUGAAAGCCAAUGAAUAACCUUGGUCUUCAGGAAAAAUAGCUCCCCACACCACUUGUCAGGAAAUAAUCCUGGCUAUUUGUUAGCCUAAGUAACCGGUUUCCAUUUUUUGAGAAUAGAGUCAGAAAAAAAAGGAAGAGAUGAAGUGAGAGCGAGUUCUGAAGACCACUGGAUCUAGGAGGUACAGGGGCGCCCAGAGGUCUCUCUGCAGAGAGUGCUGCUGUUAAGGAGAUUGAAGAGCAUCAGCAAGAGCACCCCCUAAAGUGUGCAGAUGUUAAACUGAUUAAGAACAUGGCUUCUGGAAGUAAUGCCAAGUCUAACCAUGGUGAAUGGCCCCAAGAGGACUGGCGGGUUUGUGGGUUACGCCCUUUAGUGUUCAUUUGAUGCAGAGAAUGAGGGCACAGUGCUGGAAGGGGGUAUCUGAGGUUUUGUGUGUUUUGGAGAAAAAUUACAUGGAGUUAAGUAGUGAUGUCAUACUUUGUGCCCCCAAAACCCAGCAUGGCAGAGAUCUUGUUAAACCUCAGCAAGUACGUAAGCAGGUUGCUCAAGUACGUGUUGGUUACCUCACUUCAUCUAUGGGCGUUAUGCCAAACACUGAAUAAAUAACAUUUUACAC
rnacentral:lncRNA from 1 species